rnacentral:rRNA from 1 species
CAGUAGCCGCGGUAAUACAGAGGGUGCAAGCGUUAAUCGGAUUUACUGGGCGUAAAGGGCGCGUAGGUGGUUAUGUAAGUGAGAUGUGAAAUCCCCGGGCUCAACCCGAAGUCUGCACGGGAAACCACUGGGCUUGAGUAAUGGAGAGGUGAGUGGAAUUUCCGGUGUAGCGGUGAAAUGCGUAGAUAUCGGAAGGAACACCUGUGGCGAAAGCGGCUUACUGGACAUUUACUGACGCUGAUGCACGAAAGCUAGGGGAGCAAACAGGAUUAGAUACCCGCGUAGUCCCUGUCUCUUAUAC